GAAAUGCGAUAACUAGUGUGAAUUGCAGAAUUCCGUGAAUCAUCGAGUCUUUGAACGCACAUUGCGCCCCCUGGUAUUCCGGGGGGCAUGCCUGUCCGAGCAUCAUUGCUGCCCAUCAAGCACGGCUUGUGUGUUGGGUCGUCGUCCCCUCUCCGGGGGGGACGGGCCCCAAAGGCAGCGGCGGCACCGCGUCCGAUCCUCGAGCGUAUGGGGCUUUGUCACCCGCUCUGUAGGCCCGGCCGGCGCUUGCCGAACGCAAAUCAAUCUUUUUCCAGGUUGACCUCGGAUCAGGUAGGGAUACCCGCUGAACUUAAGC
rnacentral:misc_RNA from 1 species